rnacentral:rRNA from 1 species
UUCUGGGAGGAUUGACAGAUUGAGAGCUCUUUCUUGAUUCCGUGGAUGGUGGUGCAUGCCUGUCCUUAGUUGGCGGAGCGAUUUGUCCGACUAAUUCCGAUAACGAACGAGACUCUAGUCUAUUAAAAAGGUGCGUGGUUCUCCGCACCUUGCACCCUUCUCAGAGGGACAAGCGGCUCCUAGCCGCACGAAACAGAGCGAUAACAGGUCUGUGAUGCCGUUAGAU